AGAAAAGCAGAAAAAGGAGGUAAAGAGGCCCAGCUUAUCCAGAAACUGAGCAAUACACCUGUAAGAACAUUGAGUAAACCACAACUUUGCAACUCAUUUCCUUAACUAGGAACAUAAAGUUCAACAAAAAGCCACAGAAAGAGAUGAACAGAAGAAUGAUGCAACGUUACCACUGGACUUGGGACACAGUAUGAAGGCAAAGACUCAUGGCUAGGCUGCAAUAAUAGCAACCAGAAACAAGGGGCACAUGUAUUCUUCUUUGUUGCUACCCAGCCAGAAAGAGAAAUACUCCUAUCCUCUUCCAUUCUUUCUGAGCCAAAUCAGGUCACGUGUUCAUGCCUGGAGGGUGGAGGGGAAGGAAACCAGGGCAAUGUCACAUGUUGUUUGUCUUAGAAAAAAACAAGAUUCCUAGAGUUGGAGAAAGGGUAAAUUUCUCCUGAGUCAAUCCUACUGCUAACUAAGGGAUUUAAUAACUGAAUAAAGUCAGCCUUUGGUUAGCAAGGAGGAUGAAGUUUGAUGGGAAAAUAAUGGACAGUGUCCACUAUUGGCAGGUAUUCAGCUGAAGCAUGAUCACAUCUGCCAACUUGGUUAUUUCUGCUACCCUUUUCCUUGGGGUCCUUCCACAGAGACAAUGUUUUGAGAUGGUAAAAUUCAUACUGUCCAUUGCAUCAUGAAUUUCAAUAUUAAUUCUGAAAUCUGUUC
rnacentral:lncRNA from 10 species